GACGAACGCUGGCGGCGCGCCUAACACAUGCAAGUCGAACGAGCGAGAGAGAGCUUGCUUUCUUGAGCGAGUGGCGAACGGGUGAGUAACGCGUGAGGAACCUGCCUCAAAGAGGGGGACAACAGUUGGAAACGACUGCUAAUACCGCAUAAGCCCACGACCCGGCAUCGGGUUGAGGGAAAAGGAGCCAUCCGCUUUGAGAUGGCCUCGCGUCCGAUUAGCUAGUUGGUGAGGUAACGGCCCACCAAGGCGACGAUCGGUAGCCGGACUGAGAGGUUGAACGGCCACACUGGGACUGAGACACGGCCCAGACUCCUACGGGAGGCAGCAGUGGGGAAUAUUGCACAAUGGGGGAAACCCUGAUGCAGCGACGCCGCGUGGAGGAAGAAGGUCUUCGGAUUGUAAACUCCUGUUGUUGAGGAAGAUAAUGACGGUACUCAACAAGGAAGUGACGGCUAACUACGUG
rnacentral:rRNA from 1 species